rnacentral:rRNA from 1 species
CAGUAGCCACGGUAAUACGAGGGGAGCUAGCGUUACUCGGAAUUAUUGGGCGUAAGGGCUCGCAGGCGGUUUCUUAAGUCUGAUGUGAAAGCCCCCGGCUCAACCGGGGAGGGUCAUUGGAAACUGGGAAACUUGAGUGCAGAAGAGGAGAGUGGAACUCCACGUGUAGCGGUGAAAUGCGUAGAGAUGUGGAGGAACACCAGUGGCGAAGGCGACUCUCUGGUCUGUAACCGACGCUGAGGAGCGAAAGCGUGGGGAGCGAACAGGAUUAGAUACCCCGGUAGUCCCUGUCUCUUAUACA